rnacentral:rRNA from 1 species
GAUGAACGCUGGCGGCGUGCUUAACACAUGCAAGUCGAACGAUGAAGCCGGAGCUUGCUCUGGUGGAUUAGUGGCGAACGGGUGAGUAACACGUGAGUAACCUGCCCUUGACUCUGGGAUAAGCGUUGGAAACGACGUCUAAUACCGGAUACGAGCUAGGACCGCAUGGUCACUAGCUGGAAAGAAUUUCGGUCAAGGAUGGACUCGCGGCCUAUCAGCCAGUUGGUGAGGUAACGGCUCACCAAGGCGACGACGGGUAGCCGGCCUGAGAGGGUGACCGGCCACACUGGGACUGAGACACGGCCCAGACUCCUACGGGAGGCAGCAGUGGGGAAUAUUGCACAAUGGGCGCAAGCCUGAUGCAGCAACGCCGCGUGAGGGACGACGGCCUUCGGGUUGUAAACCUCUUUUAGCAGGGAAGAAGCGCAAGUGACGGUACCUGCAGAAAAAGCACCGGCUAACUACGUGCCAGCAGCCGCGGUAACAC